ensembl:lncRNA
GGAAAAUUAGUUUGACACAUGAUGAAAACAUUUCUGAAAAGCACUGAGAGAAAAAAGAACGAGUGCGGAGUGAACAAAGUUUGAAACUUGAGUCGUCAGUAAAAACGAGUAGCCUGUAAGAACGCCUUUGAUGAAAGCAGAACCUGUUGAAAUUCUCGAGGCUGGAUCGGGACGCUGUCGCAAGGUUAUGAUGGACGUCAACAGAAAACAUACCAAACGCUUCACACGCAAUGCUGUCGCCAACCUGGGAGCCAAAGGUGGCAGAGACGAUGCUGAACCCAGUCAGUUCUUCAAUUUUCAACCCACAAUCAUCAUAUGACAUCUGAGCUCACUGCUGCAGCAACAUUUACUCAACAUAUGAAACAGC